GAUCCUGGCUCAGGAUAAACGCUGGCGGCGCACAUAAGACAUGCAAGUCGAACGGACUUAAUCGAAAUAUUUAUAUUUUGAAGCGGUUAGUGGCGGACUGGUGAGUAACGCGUAAGGAACCUGCCUAUUAGAGGGGAAUAACAGUGAGAAAUCAUUGCUAAUACCGCAUAUGCCAUAGAUAUCACAUGAUAACAGUGGGAAAGGAGCAAUCCGCUAAUAGAUGGCCUUGCGU
rnacentral:rRNA from 1 species